UACGAAGGGGGCUAGCGUUGUUCGGAAUUACUGGGCGUAAAGCGCGCGCAGGCGGACGUUUAAGUAGGGCGUGAAAUCUCCCGGCCUAACUGGGAGGGGUCGCUCUAGACUGGGCGUCUUGAGGACUGCAGAGGUGGGUGGAAUUCCUGGUGUAGUGGUGAAAUGCGUAGAGAUCAGGAGGAACACCGGUGGCGAAGGCGGCCCACUGGGCAGUCACUGACGCUGAGGCGCGAAAGCUCGGGGAGCGAACGGG
rnacentral:rRNA from 1 species